rnacentral:rRNA from 1 species
GUUUUUCGCUCUAAGAUGAGUCCGCGUAAGAUUAGCUAGUUGGUGAGGUAACGGCUCACCAAGGCGACGAUCUUUAACUGGUCUGAGAGGAUGAUCAGUCACACUGGAACUGAGACACGGUCCAGACUCCUACGGGAGGCAGCAGUAGGGAAUAUUGCACAAUGGGGGAAACCCUGAUGCAGCGACGCCGCGUGAGUGAUGAAGGCCUUCGGGUCGUAAAGCUCUGUCGCAGGGGAAUAACACAAUG